AAGUCGUAACAAGGUUUCCGUAGGUGAACCUGCGGAAGGAUCAUUACAAAUCUUUUUAAAGUCCUAAAAAUAUUUUUUUUUUUUUGGGACUUUAUAUGUCCGAGGCAGCAAUGCUUCGUUACAUUUACGCUUGUAUGUUUGACAGAGUUAGUGUGAUUUUUUAAUAUAUACAACUUUUAACAAUGGAUCUCUUGGCUCUU
rnacentral:misc_RNA from 1 species